rnacentral:rRNA from 1 species
CCCUUAGAUGUUCUGGGCUGCACGCGCGCUACACUGACGCACGCAACAGGUGCCUGCUCCGAGAGGACUGGGUAAUCAUUUGAGUGUGCGUCGUGAUGGGGAUAGAAUAUUGUACUUAUUACUCUUCAACGAGGAAUUCCUAGUAAGCGCCAGUCAGCAGCUUGCGCUGAUUACGUCCCUGCCCUUUGUACACACCGCCCGUCGCUCCUACCGAUGGGUGAUCCGGUGAAUGAUUCGGACUUCAGCGGCUCCCCUGGGGUGCGCCGGAGAAAGUUUUGUGAACCUUAUCACUUGGAGGAAGGAGAAGUCGUAACA